rnacentral:lncRNA from 1 species
UUUUUCUUCACUAAAAGGUAAGAACCUUGAUUUUAACUCCCUGUGCGUGUCUCUCCUUCGCGCUUCCAAACAACGCGAUCCAACCCUCUAGUUCUCUCCUCCGUAAUACGUGAAACCCAACAAAGAGGCACGCCAAAAGCAGCAGCAAGGACAUGCGCAGCGGUACCAAGUAUAAUCUCCUUGUAUUUUUCCUCGAUGUCCCUCUCAAUUAGUACCAUCGUAGCAGAAAAAUAAUAGGAGCACAUGAAAUUGUCCUUAGCGUGAUAUAGCUCCACGUAUCAUCUCAAGGAAAAGAUAUUGAUCCCAGCCAUCAAUUCUUUCUUUCCUCUUCCGAAAUGGGUCAAAACUUCAAAAAAAAAAGUUACUUGUCCAAAAGGGUGAAAGAUUUUGAGUUUUGAGUUUUGAUUUUGGGCCUUUCAGUCCGUAGUGUUUUUCGUCCGUUCCCCCCCAACCCCGCCCCAAUUUGCCAUAAUUCUUAGACUAUAAAUAUGCUAUUUCUUUUUCUUUUGGAGGUUGUUCAGUGUUGGGAGAAAAGGAGAUUUAGGACAGAAAAUGAUUUUUUGAAAAUCUUGGAUCGAUAAUACAUACAGCUUAAGGUGAAAUAGUUGAAAUACACACUUAGUGCUUCAAAGAAAACAGAGGAGAUAGUUUGUUCAGUUUUGAGAUUUAUAUCUCUGUAAAAACGUCCAAUUACUGUUCGUCUCUGUGCUCAUGUGGUGAAGGUCUUCGCUGCCUGCUCACUCAUUCAAAAUCACUGCACAUGAAAAGGUAACCCCUUCAGAUUUCUACUCGUUUCAUUAUUGUUUCACGCGCUCUCCUCGAGUAACUCUGUUCUCUGCCUGAUUCAUUGUUGUUGUGUGUUGAAAGUUGUUUUGGCUUUCGAGUGGGUUUUAACUUAGUAGAUUAAUAUGAAAGGCAUUCUUUCCGUGAGUCGUUCAUCUCUUGGCGUUUACAGAUAGGCUAAGUGAAGAAGUGAGGAUAAUUGUUCCUGUCUUCUUGAGUGUCUUUGUUGUUGGCUGAACAAUUUGUUAACUUUGCAUUCUGAAUAUUAAAAUUUGCGGUGUUUUUAUGUUCUUUCAAAAAAAAUUGUAAACUAUAUGGCUAUUGAUGUUUAAACUUUCUGUUUGCCUGUUAUUCCGCGUUGUUUCAAGUAUUUAUCGUUCAUCCACCGUCUGUUCCUGUCGGACUGACUCGUGAAAUAUUUCGAUUAUUGUUAUGCAUAUAAGAAUGUGGUCUAAAAUGUACAUGUCAGCUGUGUUUGUCUUCAAAUCAUUUUCUAUCACCCUAAAAAAAUUGUUACACUACUUGUUUAUUUUUCCAAAAUUUUCAUCGAUAUGUUUUUUCAGUUUUAAAAUGUUUCACUCAUCUUAGACUAUUUUUAAUUCGAUGUUAGUAUACAUUAUUGCAUCGCACUCGACGUCAUCUUCUUCUAUCUCUCGUUGCAAGUUCGGAGAAUGAAUCAAGAUGUCAAAAUUUGAAGUCCAUUUACUAUCUGUAUCGUUGCUUGUUUUAGGGUCUUUAGUUGUUUGUUUAAAUCAUGUUUAUUCGUACCCCUGCUCGAUUGGUUUGAAAUUUAACUCAUCUUGUCACUUUCGUUAAUUUGAAUCAAAAUGUCUCUUUCUGUUUAUGUGUGGAUUCGACGAAUACAUAGAUUGAUGGAAUCAAUAGCUCAGUUGUGAUUUGUUUGUAUUAUUUGGUGCCAACAACCAUUGAAAUUGCAGUCACUGUUAUUCCCUAUUUAGUUUUCAACUAAAUAUUUAUUCCUAUCUUUUUUAUAUUGACUUUUAGUUGAGAGUAACUAUGGCCUUAUUUAUUCAUUGCUUUCCUCUUCAGUUAAUUAUUAAUUUGUAAAUAAAAUGGCAGAUUUAGGGAAGAAGUGUCAGAAUCAUUUAUGGGCUUUAAAUGCUAGAAUGUGAUUAAAAAUUACUGCCAAACUUGAUUUUGUUUAAAAUAUUCAUAUAGUUGUCCUUGUAUAAUAAUCAUUUUUAUUUCUUAAAGUUGUCACAUGUUUUGAAUAUAUCUUUAUCUGUUAGGUAUAUUCUUGGAUAAAACUAUUGGUUCAAUUGCCUUCUAUUAACCAGCCUCUUAUUUAUUUCUUUAUCUUAAGGUGCUUCAGUUGAACUUCCUUUCUAUACCUUUAUUUCAGGAUUGGUCUAUUAAAGUUAAAAUAACAUACUAAUUUUUUUUGUCGCAUGAGAGAAUAUACCCGAGUUCACCAAGAACUCUCAUCUUUCCCUUACAUUUCGAGAGAGAUCUAAAGUAUCAUACUUCCUCUUAUCAAGUCAACCAGCCUUAUUUGAACAAACAUACAAGUCCCAAAGCGGAAGAACUUGAAGAUAUUGGACCUUAAAUGCCCAAAUUUAUUUGAAAUAUUGUAUUUUGUCAUUUCUUGGGCAUGAGCACUUGUGUUUUUUUAAAAUUAUUCUACUAUUACUGUAUGAUUAGUGUAGGGUAGGUACGAUUGAAGUGGGUCAAAAGCGCAACAAAAAAUGGGUCCAAAUACCGGUCCAGGCGAAAAGAAACCAGAUUUGGACCAAACUCUCUCUCUCUUACUUUAUCGCAUUUAUUUCCUUCUUUGUCAAUAUCUAUUGUUACUUUUAGGGUCAAAAAAAUUAAAUCCUCGCAAAACGCCAUAUCAUUUUGACAAUUUAAGCUAAAUCAACCCAUGUAUAAAAAGAUUUAGCGAUAUAAAUUUUUCAAAGUUAGUUGUUGGAUUACCACAAGUUAGUUGAUAUUUUACGUGCCAUAAAAAACCUUCCUAAAAUAUUUAUAAGAAGCCCCGAACCCCCUUUAAACUUUUCAAUGGAUUUGGUGUUUGAGAAUUUUUAAAACAAAUGUUUCUUGAUUUUCCUAAAAUUAAGUGAUGAUUAUAACAAGUCUAAAAUACUAAAAUAUUUUUUCCAAAAUAAAACAUGGCCCCACUUCUAUAAAUGAGGGACUACAAAGAUUUAGGAAAAGUUUCCCUUCAUUCAUACUUUAAAUCAUCUAAUAGAGUUGUGUGCUAAGGAACUUAGUCUAACUCGUGCAUUCCUCAGAUUCAUUUGAAUGCCACUCAUACUCAAGGUAGUUUAAAAGUAAAGUUAAGUUUAUUAUCGAUGAGUUACACUAGCCUAAACUCUUUUGAAAUUCAUGAUACUACAAAGGGUCUUAAGAGAAGCCCAUGAAUGACUAUAAGUGUUCAGAUUCAAAAGAAUGCACUCUUAUUCAUAUGAAUCGUGUGUUUGAGCUAAAAGCAAGAUAUAUUUCCAGACUCUUUUCUCUAAACCUUGUUUUAGUUGAGACCCUUAUGAGAAGUAUAUUUUGGAGCUUGGGUAGUAUUUUCACAUGAAAAGAUAGUAAGAGUUAUGAGAUUAUAAGAAGUGGUAAGAGUCCCCAAAGUUAGAAAUAAUGCAUGUAGAGGUUUAGUAAUCUAAGAAAGAGAGAAGGUAAUGAGGCAAGCUAUGUAUUAUUGUCAUGCAACUUGUAAGUUAGUUUUUAAUAAAAAGUUUUCCCUUAUGGGUAGACUAAGAGGUCCAAUUUUCGUAUAGACUUCAUGAUAAGAGGUAGAGUUAUAGUUACUAGUUAGGAUGAGGUAGAGUAUACUUUAACAAGAAAAGAGGUUAUGAAGACAUGUCAUUGUGUUAGUAAUGAGGUGAUAACUCUAAGGUAGGCUUAUGAUCUUUAAAGGAAGCUCAUAAUAUUCAAAGGGUAGUAGAACUAAUUAGGAAAUGAUGUCUGAAUGAGUAAAUAAUACAUAAGUCAUGAAAUAAAAUGUUAUGAUAAUUUGUAUGUACGUAGACAGAGAGAUAAAAUUGACCACUUUUGAUGAGAUUUUAGUGGGAGAGUAUUUCGUAAUAUGUAUCUAGUAAAUGUAAGUUAGUAUAGUAAGUAGUUGAUCAUAUUGAUAUUUGAGUUUAGUAAUAAACAUUAGGCUUGAAUUUGAUAUGAGAGCGAUAGCUAAAAAAUGAAUGGAAACAUGAGGGUGAUGAUGUUAGUUCGAGAUCUAAUAUGGUAGAUUUGACAGAUAGUAGGUAAGAAAUAGAGGUGUUACCAUUUACAAGCAUGAGUGGUACAAGUAUGAGAUUCUAACUUUUAGAAGGUAAAAAUGUAGUGUGGCUAUGUAAUUAGACUUACCAGAUAAUUGAGAUGCCUAACUGAGAUAGUAUGUAGUUAUAAGAUAUUACAAUUAGAUAAUGAUUAUUUUUCAUGUCUUCCUAUAUAGUAUAUCUGAUUUUUUCCCUUAAGAGUUAGACGACGCGAUCCUAUAAGCUAACGAGAAUAGGUUAGGAGAAGCAUCUUACAAAUAUGUCUCACAAUGAAUCUCAGUACCAGCUUACGGAGAGCCUAGUAGGCAUGAGAAAAUCCAUUUCCAAGUAUUAGAGUAAAAUAAAUAUAGACAAAUGUUGAGAUGAUGGAAUAGAUCCAUAAACUUUUCGGUGUCAAUCCAAACUUAAGGGGAGAUGAUAAUAUGAAUAACCAAGUCAAGUAUUACGGAUGAUAUAAUGAUGUGUUCCGAAAGAGGUAUAUCAAUCCAUUCAUAAUCUUUUGUAUUCCUCAAGUCCAGUUAUUAAUACAUCUUGUUGACGUUUCUAAUAUUUGAAUUGCGUGUAUGACCUAUGCUCAUAUACUUAAGAGAGAUUCAUAUCUAUGAUCAGUUUUAAAAAAUGAUGGGUAAAGACUUCAGCCCAUUAAUAUCAACCUUAAUUCAUAUCAUUAUAUGAACCCAUUCAUAUAACCAUUCAUGUCUCAUAGUAUGUUUAUUCUACCAAGUUUAUUAUUUACAAUCAAUGGCUAGCAAUAUAAUUUUGUUUCAUUCAUAUUCUUUUAUCGAAUAUCUCAAAUGAAUCGUGCUUAUAAUAUUUUUCCUUAAAUCCCUCUUAGUGAUCCCUUUUCGUUUAGGGUGUUGUUGUUCUUAAUAGUUGUGUGAAGGAUAGAAAAGAGGAUUGAUGUUUCUUGUUGUGAUAGUGAUGGUGUGUUUAUUCAAUCUAAGCUUAUAAAUGUAAAGGAAUAAGUAGAUAAGGUUUUGCAAUUAGUAAUGUAAUUUUCCUGGUAAUAUUGCACGAAAGUUAAAUGGGUAGAAUUGAUGAGAGAAUGAAGAAUCAUUAUGAGGGUUUGUUAGUAGGAGUUAAUGGAUUGGUUAUAGUAAUAGUAUUGAAUGUGGUGUUGGUAUCAUGUGGAUGAAUGCAUGAUUCAUUUUAUGUUUCUUGAUAUUGGCUCAAGGUUGACUGAAGCUUAGUAGGGAAGUUCAAAAGUUAGAAAGAUAGUUAGAGUAACCACUUUCCCUUCCAUCCUCAUUUUAUCCAUCAUUCGAGGAUGAAUGAUACCAAUGGAGAGAUAAUGUAACACCUCAAAAUUUCUAAGUUAAUCCCAAACCAUUCUUGAAUGACGUAUAAAGUUGUACUGAGGGAAUCUUAAUAUUUCGUAGGUAUUAGGUGUAACACUUCAAAAAUCCAAGAAAUAUUCUAGAUCCUAACAUAAGUUUCAUAAGUUUUAGACACUAUUUAAAGGUCCACUUUAAAUAUUACAAGUUAUUUAGGAAGUCUAGAAAUAAAAACGUCCAAAAAACGUCCAUGAUGUCCGGAAACUAGUUCAAGGAGUUACUAGCGUGCCUUAGCCUAUUUGACUAGAUUUAAGAAGUAGAAAAAUGAUGAAAAUUGGUGGAAUGGUGUAUAACUUGUGUUUAAUUUGACUUACGAUCGAAACGUCCAGGUACGAAUCCCCAAGGACAAACCAAGGGCCCUUGAGAAGGACCCUUCUACGUUGGAGUCAAAGACUUCCUGGGCAGUGUGCAUUGACGAAGGAAGUAGACGAGGCGUAUGUUGAUCAAAGUGGGUUUCAUCCAAUCUCAAAAUUUGAUGUUAUGAAUUGAUUUGAUUAUGAUUUAUUUUGCAUAUUAUGAAUAGAUUAACAAGUAUUAUAACUCAAUUAUGAUAUAUUUUAAUGGUUUGGUAUAUUUGUAGAAUAUGACCCUUUCCCCUUAACCCUAGGUUUUGAUUUUGAUAUGAAUUAGAUUGUAUUCGUUCAAUUGACUUGGUUAUUGGUUGAAUUACUACUAGAUGAUGUUAUUACACUAAUUAUGAAUGGAUUAUGAUGAUUUGUAGUCUUUCAUGCUAGUUCUUGAGAAAAUGAUCUAGGUUAUUAAGUAUGUUUUGAAUUGACCUAAGUAUCUUGUCUUAAGCUAUGAUCUAGCAUUGAAUUGUUAUGUAGUGAUUAUUCUAGCAUUGUUAUCAUGUUCAUUUUUGACUUGUGAUGAUGUAUAUACAAAUUGUGUUCAGUUGAGGUUUUGUGGUAAGACCGUGAUAAUGAACUAUGAAGAAGACUUAGUAAGUCAUAUGAUCCCUAUCCUUUAAUUCAAAUGGUGGUUAAUUGUGAUUAAGGCAUGAUGUUGCAUUGGACUAUGCCUUGUAUUAGGAAUUAUAGGAUGGUAUGAUGUUUACUUGAAAUGUCUUGACUAUGAUUUAUGAGGUAUUAGCUUAAGAUAUAAAUGUUAUAAGGAUGGUGAAUAAUUUAACAAUGUGCCAUGUCAAGAUAUAAGAAUGUUAAUGUGCUAGCCUCUUUGAUAUCAAUUGUAAUAAAGGACAAUCCUCAAGCAAUUAUUACUGAGUUGUGAUGAUGAUGAUGUUAUAAUAGGAUUAUAUCCUAUGACCUACAAUAAGAUAUGAUAAUUAAUAGAGACACUAAAGACAUCUCAAGAAGGGACUCUAGCUUAGCACCGAGUGAACUAGAGUGAGGAGUGUCACUUCCCACAAAGGAAAGGUAGGAUCACAAAUGUACUCUUAAGAUUGAAGACUACAAUGCAUGUAGCAUAAAUAGGGCCCCAACUAUAUCUCCUAGUUAUUGAACUAUGUUGCCUCCAUAGGAAUACUAGCUAGUGGAUCCACGUAGUUGCUAUGAUAAUGUUUCGGUUCUACCUUGGCAUGUAGUCUGCCUUCUUUCGGUGUAGGGUUUCAUGACACUGUAUUCCACAUUAGCUCAUGUGGUCUAUGUCAGUGAAGGCAAGAUGUUCUCAAAAGGUAAAAUGAACUAAAGGAAUGAACUCUAUUAAGGUGACCUAAGGGGAUUAGCUUAGUCUAGGUAGGGGUAUGGGACUCUACCUAUACAUUGCACUAGUUAGCCUUAAAGGAAGUGUUAAGGAGGAUGUUCUUAUGUAUGUAUAUUCUUAUAAAUAAAAAUGAUGUUUAUAUGACGAUCUUACAUGUAAAUGAUGAUAUGUGAUGUCCAUUGCUCUUAUGAACACAUACAUGGUCUAUAAUGCUAAAGCUAUGCUAUUGUGUACUCAUAAUGUUAUUUUAUGUGAAGUGGGAUGUUGGUCAUGAUUCUUGUUGAGUUAAUUGAUUGUGUAAGGUUAUGGGUCUUUCCUUAGUUAUUGCACUUAUUGACUUGUUAGGGGGUUAUGGGUAAUUAUCUUACUUUGGUUAUGUUGAAGUGUUCUCUUAUUCAUGCUUGUUGCCAUUAUGACUUGAUGAUAGAGUUACUUUGACUAUAUGUCUAAAUGCAUGAUAUGCAUGUUGGAUUGACUAGUUUUGAUGUUGUUAGUCUUGUAAUUUACAUGCCUAUGACUUCAUGAAUAUGUCCUAAGUGAUUUGGUAUGGUCUAGUAGAUUAUGCAUAAGUGUUUUCAAACAAAUUGCAUACCUAUAUGAAAUUUCCCUUUUCUUAGCAUGAUUUUAAAGUAUGUGUUCAUAUCGUCUCAUACUUAGUACAAGUGGUGUACUAACCCCAUUUCUUUCUUUAACCCAACAUUUUAGGUUCCAGUCGUUGAAGUGCUUUUGAAGAUGACUUGAUAUUAAUCCAAGUAGGGUUGGUCCUCACUUUCCGAGGGCAAGGUUAAUAUCAAGCUAUGAUAUUAUUCUAUUAUUAAACUCUCAUGUUUCUUUCCUUUUUAUGUAGUAUGGAAUAUUGUAUAGCCCCUGUGAGGCAUUCUUACUUUAACGUAUGGACUAUGCCCAAGUUCUUACACUCUUAUUAGAUUGUUAUGAGAUGAGAUGACUAUUAUGACUAUGUUAUAUAUAUAUGUGUGUGUGU